AUUGAACGCUGGCGGCAUGCCUAACACAUGCAAGUCGAACGAGUGGCGCACGGGAGUGUUAUGUCUGGGACAUGGCCUGAUGGAUGGGGUUAACCAUUGGAAACGGUAGCUAAUACCGCAUAUCAUAGGAUGUGCCCCGAUGGGAUUAGCUAGUAGGUGGGGUGAAGGCGCACCUAGGAGACGAUCCCUAGCUGGUCUGAGAGGAUGACCAGCCAAACUGGAACUGGGACACGGUCCAGCAUCCUACGGUAGGCAGCAGUGGGGAAUAUUGCACAAUGGGCGCAAGCCUGAUACAGCCAUGCCGCGUGUAUGAAGAAGGCCUUCGGGUUGUAAAGUACUUUCAGCGGGGAGGCGUUACCCGCAGAAGAAGCACCGGCUAACUCCGUGCCAGCAGCCGCGGUAAUUC
rnacentral:rRNA from 1 species